rnacentral:lncRNA from 1 species
CAAUUCAAUGUAUUAAUCAAUAUUCUUAUUGCAGAGAAUAGAAUCUUCUCUGGCUCAGCAGAAUGGUGUGGACCAGGGAGUAUCAAUAAUUCCCCGGUUAUUGGGAGGUGUGAGGAAAUGGAUCUAGGCUGAGUGAGCAUGAGCCCGCAGCCACACGGGAGAGCCAGGCCAUCAGGAGUGGUGGUCACCUCUACACUGAUCAAGAAACUCCAAAUCAAGAAGUUGCCACGUCAGCUUCCUCAGACCCAGAACUCUCGGCUCCAGUCUGCCCCGGCACAGCGAGAACCCUGGACCUGCCCUUGCCCGCAUUGACUCGGUUCUGAAUCAAAGUCUUGUGUGAACACAUCUAAUGGGAGGUGUCCAAAUCACAUACAGAAUGGCACCACAAAUCACACCUGGGGAAUGUGGCUUUAACUUUUCAGCCUCAGCACUCUUCAGUGGGCCUGCAGGGGAAGGAGAGCGAGGAAGCCCUCAGGAUCCAUCACCAAGGGGAUGUUCAUGAAGAGAAGGCUACUCAUGGCCGGCGUCAAUUUCCUGAUGUGUCAUGGAGUCUCGCUAUUGGCUUUGCCAUUUGCUGGUCAAUGUGGUUUGUAGGCAGAGCCAAUGAAAUGGAUCCAGAAAUGGAAUGUAACAUCUGUGACCAGUUCAAACCUUUCAACAUGAUGAUCUGUUUAUCAGAAACCAAAGCUGCUAAAAAGAAAGUACAAAAAAGAAGGGAAAAAAUCUAAAAAGCCAACUAUUCAUUAUAAGUUUGAAAACAACCUGUGUGUGGGCAUGACUCUGUGUGUGUGUGUGUGUGUGUGCGUGUGUGUAGACCACAUGUUAAAAAACAAAUUAGAAUGUGGUGCAUGUUGAUUGGGGGUGACGAAUCUUCCAGGUUUACCCAGGAUUCGGGUAGUUUCCUAAAACAUGGGACUUCCAGUGCUGAACAAGGACACUCUUGGAUGAAUCAGGCUGGCUGGUCAAAAUAAUGCAUCCUUAGACAUAGAGAUCUUGUAGCUUGUGGUCUGAAAUUUAGUGUUGCCAAACAUCACAGGAAGUUGCAAACUGUUGGACCGUAGAUUCAGCCAAUAUGGUGUCUG